AAAUUUUGGAAUAUUUUUUUUCCUAAUCUGUUUCUGAUUUUGCUGAACACUUCUGAGGUAACCUGAGACACUUGUGAGAUAAACUCAGCUCUCCAUGUCUCCGCUUCUGUAUUUGGUCUCCAUUUGAUUUUGAUUUAAUUAAAAAAAAAUUCCGUUUAGCCACCCAACGCAUCCUGUGGCCGCCAUGAACGUUUUCAUUCAAAAGAAACGCGUGCUGUUUCUUCUUUUGUGCUCCACUGAAAAACACACCAGCGUGAAGGCGAGUAAAUAAAGAUUUCCCACUUCUGCAUGAACUUUUUCCUGUAAAGAUAUUUCUCUCCUACAGGCUUAAUGCACCUACAGAAGAGCGAUCCGCAGCACUUGGCAGCGCCGAGGCUGUUUGUGGAAACGCUUUAGCGGGUUAAACAGCAGUAACUUUGACAGAAAAGAUCCAGCCGCUUGCUCGCAGGAGUACCGCUUCUGGGAAUAAAAAGCUUUAAGCAACACCGAUCUAGACUUCCUUCAGAAACAGUUCGCUCAAAGGUUUCUCUCAGACACGGAUCUUACACACAGCUGGGUUGCACAGUUGGCAAACGCCUGUGUGUGUGUGUGUGUGUGUGUGUGUGUUUUCACCUCGCUCUAUCUUUGCCCACAGGAAUGCCGAUAUCACCGGUGCUGUCAGACUCAGUGUUUCCGGGUCUGGAGGCUAUACCCAGCUAUGCGCGUGUGCGAUUCGUUGGCAUUGCCAUGACAACAACCUUCGACUGGAUCCAUCAAACCUAGUUGUGAUGUUUGCGUCUACACGGGCCAGAAGUCAGGAGCGGCUCCCGCUUUAGCGGCGUUUUGGGUGAGUUUCUGAGGGGAAACUCUAGCAAUGUCACCUACUCCGAGCUACACGCACAGCGGCUAAUCCUGGGCCUGCAUCCAGAGACUCUUGGUGAAUAUUAAACACUGAAGAUGUGUUUGACUGACGUCUGAACCCCUGCAGCUUCUCUACUACACUAGAACAACAGGUGAAGGUGUUGGAUCAGCUCCCUGUGCUUACUUCAGAGGUUUAUCCCUCAGGGCCGCUGCUGAUGCGAGCAACUGUCUCCACGGUGACAGACGCCAAAGAUAAAGCAAGGCAGGCUUUGCUGAAGCCAUCAAAGGUUGGCAGCCGCCUCGAUACUACGAUUCCUCCCAACAUGAGCACAUCCACGCACACGUGACAGAAUCCAAGUCUGAUCUUCUUUCUUCUCGUUUUGCUCUUGGUCUCUUGAAGUCUUCGCUAUAUGAACAACACAUGCACAUCAUCCCAACAUCACGCCUACUCUAUGGAUGAGACAUGACUUCUUUAAGGAAGAGUUCAUCUAAAAAAUUCUGUCAGUAUUUACUCACUCUCAUGUUGUUCUGAACUAAUAUGACUUUCUUUCUUCCCAAAAUGGAAUCUUCAGAGGGAUAUUCACGCUGCCUUUUUUUAUAAGACUAAAUCAUACAGUCACUUGGAGCUCCAAAGUGACAAAAACACCAAAAAGUAACCAUAAAAGUACUCUAUACAACUACAAAUCACACGAUAGCUUUGCGUAAAAACAGACGUGAAUUUAAGUCACGACUCAAUAAAAAAAACACAUUUAGAUUCAGCCUUGGCAAGGUUUUAGCAGUUAAAGGAACACUUCACUUUUUUUUGGAAAUGGGCUCAUUGUCCAGCUCCCCCAGGGUUAAUACGUUC